rnacentral:rRNA from 1 species
GAUUAUGGCUCAGGAUGAACGCUAGCUACAGGCUUAACACAUGCAAGUCGAGGGGCAGCAUGAUCGAAGCUUGCUUUGAUUGAUGGCGACCGGCGCACGGGUGAGUAACGCGUAUCCAACCUUCCCUAUAGUAGAGGAUAGCCCGGCGAAAGUCGGAUUAAUACUCUAUGUUUUCCAAUGCAGACAUCUAAGUUGGAACAAAGGUUUACCGCUAUAGGAUGGGGAUGCGUCUGAUUAGGUAGUCGGCGGGGUAACGGCCCACCGAGCCAACGAUCAGUAGGGGUUCUGAGAGGAAGGUCCCCCACAUUGGAACUGAGACACGGUCCAAACUCCUACGGGAGGCAGCAGUGAGGAAUAUUGGUCAAUGGGCGAGAGCCUGAACCAGCCCAAGUAGCGUGCAGGAUGACGGCCCUAUGGGUUGUAAACUGCUUUUAUACGGGGAUAAAGUGAGGGACGUGUCCCUUUUUGUAGGUACCGUAUGAAUAAGGACCGGCUAAUUCCGUGCCAGCCGCCGC